GGCUUCUCCAGUCACCUCCUGAGCGAGCGGCUCAACAGUUCGGACAAAGAGCUCCCGUUGGUGAGUGAGAAGAGCAAACACAAGGAGAGACAGAAGCACCAGCAUGGUGACGCCAGCCACAAGGUUUCUAAGAACAACUUUGAGGUGGACACCCUGUCGACGCUGUCACUUUCGGAUGCCCAGCACUGGACACAGGCUAAGGACAAGGGUGACUUGAGCAACGAGCCUGUGGAGUCGUGCGCUAAAAGGUACUCUGGCAGUGGCGGAGACAGCACAAGGUCAGAGAGUCUGGAUGUGUUCAGUGAAAUGAAUCCUUCCAGCGACAAGUGGGACAGUGACAUGAGUGGGAGUAAGAGGAGGGGCUUUGAAGGCUUUGGGACGUACAGGGAGAAGGACAUCCAGGCC
rnacentral:lncRNA from 1 species